rnacentral:lncRNA from 1 species
UUUAUCAUCGAACCUCGGAUGACCUCGACAACUAGUAUCUAGCUUGGAAGGUCAACAUCUGAGUUCUUUGCCAUUAACAAAAUUUCUAUAUUUUCCUCUACACCCUUAAUAAGGAGAUUUGUCUCCCCAUUUGUCUGAUCCUGACAAUACUUUACAAUGUGGCCGACCUUACUAUAGUUAUAGCAUUUGUCUGUACUGUACUCGUUUGUAUAAUGGUCAUAUUUUCCACACUUGAAACAUUCUACUUCUAGCUUUGCUCAACCUCCUCGGCCACUUUCUUGGCUACGACCACGUCCACCUCGUUCUCG